CCACACACACAAAAAAAUAAAUAAAAUAAAUGUCUUGCUGGCCAAGUUUGCAUCAUCAGAACCAGAUGGUGGUUCUUCAAGAGAUUCAUCUAUGGAAUCUGAAAGCACCCUGUGAAGAAUACAACAGAUGCGUGGAGACACAAUUAUAGACCCUCCAAUUAGAGGUCAAACUUGAGUUGAGAAGGCAAAGCAACACAAAUAAAACAAUUCCUAAAUUGGGUCCUAUGAAUGGCAAGUCUAAAAGUUCACCAAGGUGGAGGUGUUCAAUAAAUCCUUGUGAAAUGGAUGGAUGGAUGGAACAAUGGUUGCUGGUGAAAGGUUGAAUAAUAAGGGGUAAAGACUGAAGCCAGACUGACACAGAGGCAAGAAAAAGGUUGAACCAGAAAUGACCGUAAGAAAGGUCUUGCUGGGCUUCCCUGGUGGAGCAGUGGUUGAGA